rnacentral:rRNA from 1 species
AGCGGGUCAUGCCGGGGACUCAUGGGAGACUGCCGGGGUCAACUCGGAGGAAGUGGGGAUGACGUCAAAUCAUCAUGCCCCUUAUGUCUUGGGCUUCACGCAUGCCACAAUGGCCGGUACAAAGGGCUGCGAUACCGCGAGGUGGAGCGAAUCCCAGAAAGCCGGUCUCAGUUCGGAUUGGGGUCUGCAACUCGACCCCAUGAAGUCGGAGUCGCUAGUAAUCGCAGAUCAGCAACGCUGCGGUGAAUACGGUUCCCGGGCCUU